rnacentral:rRNA from 1 species
GUGGGGAAUUUUGGACAAUGGGCGAAAGCCUGAUCCAGCCAUUCCGCGUGCAGGAUGAAGGCCCUCGGGUUGUAAACUGCUUUUGUACAGAACGAAAAAGCUCCGGCUAAUACCUGGAGUCCAUGACGGUACUGUAAGAAUAAGCACCGGCUAACUACGUGCCAGCAGCCGCGGUAAUACGUAGGGUGCAAGCGUUAAUCGGAAUUACUGGGCGUAAAGCGUGCGCAGGCGGUUUUGUAAGACAGAGGUGAAAUCCCCGGGCUCAACCUGGGAACUGCCUUUGUGACUGCAAGGCUGGAGUGCGGCAGAGGGGGAUGGAAUUCCGCGUGUAGCAGUGAAAUGCGUAGAUAUGCGGAGGAACACCGAUGGCGAAGGCAAUCCCCUGGGCCUGCACUGACGCUCAUGCACGAAAGCGUGGGGAGCAAACAGGAUUAGAAACCCGGGUAGUCC